rnacentral:rRNA from 2 species
GGGUUGUGAGGUUAAGCGACUAAGCGUACACGGUGGAUGCCCUGGCAGUCAGAGGCGAUGAAGGGCGUGCUAAUCUGCGAUAAGCGCCGGUAAGGUGAUAUGAACCGUUAUAACCGGCGAUACCCGAAUGGGGAAACCCAGUGUGACUCGUCACACUAUCAUUAACUGAAUCCAUAGGUUAAUGAGGCGAACCGGGGGAACUGAAACAUCUAAGUACCCCGAGGAAAAGAAAUCAACCGAGAUUCCCCCAGUAGCGGCGAGCGAACGGGGAGGAGCCCAGAGCCUGAAUCAGCAUGUGUGUUAGUGGAAGCGUCUGGAAAGGCGCGCGAUACAGGGUGACAGCCCCGUACACAAAAGCGCAUGUGCUGUGAGCUCGAUGAGUAGGGCGGGACACGUGGUAUCCUGUCUGAAUAUGGGGGGACCAUCCUCCAAGGCUAAAUACUCCUGACUGACCGAUAGUGAACCAGUACCGUGAGGGAAAGGCGAAAAGAACCCCGGCGAGGGGAGUGAAAAAGAACCUGAAACCGUGUACGUACAAGCAGUGGGAGCACAGGUUUACCUGUGUGACUGCGUACCUUUUGUAUAAUGGGUCAGCGACUUAUAUUCUGUAGCAAGGUUAACCGUAUAGGGGAGCCGUAGGGAAACCGAGUCUUAACCGGGCGUUAAGUUGCAGGGUAUAGACCCGAAACCCGGUGAUCUAGCCAUGGGCAGGUUGAAGGUUGGGUAACACUAACUGGAGGACCGAACCGACUAAUGUUGAAAAAUUAGCGGAUGACCUGUGGCU